CAGUCGCCGCGGUAAUACGUAGGGUGCAAGCGUUAAUCGGAAUUACUGGGCGUAAAGCGUGCGCAGGCGGUUAUAUAAGUCAGAUGUGAAAUCCCCGGGCUCAACCUGGGAACUGCAUUUGAGACUGUAUGGCUAGAGUGUGUCAGAGGGGGGUAGAAUUCCACGUGUAGCAGUGAAAUGCGUAGAUAUGUGGAGGAAUACUGAUGGCGAAGGCAGCCCCCUGGGAUAACACUGACGCUCAUGCACGAAAGCGUGGGGAGCAAACAGGAUUAGAUACCCGUGUAGUCCCUGUCUCUUAUAC
rnacentral:rRNA from 1 species